rnacentral:rRNA from 1 species
UACGGGGGGGGCAAGCGUUGUUCGGAAUUACUGGGCGUAAAGGGCUCGUAGGUGGCCAACUAAGUCAGACGUGAAAUCCCUCGGCUUAACCGGGGAACUGCGUCUGAUACUGGAUGGCUUGAAUUCGGGAGAGGGAUGCAGAAUUCCAGGUGUAGCGGUGAAAUGCGUAGAUAUCUGGAGGUAUACCGGUGGCGAAGGCGGCAUCCUGGACCGACAUUGACGCUGAGGAGCGAAAGCUAGGGGAGCAAACGGG